AUUGAACGCUGGCGGAAUGCUUCACACAUGCAAGUCGAACGGCAGCACGGACUUCGGUCUGGUGGCGAGUGGCGAACGGGUGAGUAAUGUAUCGGAACGUGCCCAGUCGUGGGGGAUAACGUAGUGAAAAUUACGCUAAUACCGCAUACGAUCUAUGAAUGAAAGCGGGGGAUCGCAAGACCUCGCGCGAUUGGAGCGGCCGAUAUCAGAUUAGGUAGUUGGUGGGGUAAAGGCCCACCAAGCCAACGAUCUGUAGCUGGUCUGAGAGGACGACCAGCCACACUGGAACUGAGACACGGUCCAGACUCCGACGGGAGGCAGCAGUGGGGAAUUUUGGACAAUGGGCGAAAGCCUGAUCCAGCCAUUCCGCGUGCAGGAUGAAGGCCCUCGGGUUGUAAACUGCUUUUGUACAGAACGAAAAGGUUUCUACUAAUACUAGGAGCUCAUGACGGUACUGUAAGAAUAAGCACCGGCUAACUACGUGCCAGCAGCCGCAGUAA
rnacentral:rRNA from 1 species